rnacentral:misc_RNA from 1 species
AACUUGUCUGCAAGAAACCAACCUACAUCAUGAAAGCCUUCUUUGUUCUCGCUGUUGUUAUUGUAGCAGUUGCUGCUGAGAACUGCAGAGAAACCAGAGACUGUCAUUCCAGCAUAACAACGUGUGCCUCAGGAUCAGAGCUUCACUGUGUCAACCACCAGUGCACGUGCACAACUGCCGGAUCUGGCUCUGGGAGUAAGUUAUAACUAUUUAGUUUGGAUAUGAAUGGAAACUGUACUAACACUCGGUAUCUUCAUCAAUUUAGAAUGAAAACUUAACAUGCAUUACUCAUUCGUGGAUUGCAGGCUGUACCAGCGCCGAUCAAUGCACCGGUAGAUGUGACCCCGGACGUCAACACCACUGUAUCGACGGCCGUUGCCGAUGUACUCACUUUUAGAAUAAUAAAGCUCAUUUAGAU